CAGAUAUUGUUGCACGGGACUUUACAUGUAACGAUCUAUGAGGUGGAUAAGCUUCACAGCGAGGGUGGACCCCACUUCAUCCGCAAGCUCAUGGAAAACAUUGAGGAGAAAGUUGGUUUUGGCAAAGGAGUCAGUAAACUCUAUGCAACUAUUGACCUAGAAAAGGCUAGAGUUGGAAGGACUAGAAUUCUUGAAAAUCAACAGAACAACCCCAGGUGGUAUGAGUCUUUUCACAUUUACUGUGCACAUCAGGCCUCAAAUGUCAUAUUCACAAUCAAG
rnacentral:misc_RNA from 1 species